GGGGGGGGGGGGGGGGGGGGGGGGGGGGGGCGGGGCGGGGGGGGCCGGCGGGUGUGGUGGGGCGCGGGUGCGUAACGCGGGGGGACCUGCCCUGCGGUUCGGAAUAACUCCCCGAAAGGGGUGCUGAUACCGGAUGCUGUCUUCGGGCCAAAGGUUUAUCGCCUUUGGAUGGUGCCGCGUUGGCUUAGCUAGUUGGUAGGGUAAACGCCUACCAAGGCGACGAGCCAGAGCUGGGCGGAGAGGAUGAUCAGCCACACUGGGACUGAGACACGGCCCAGCCUCCUACGAGAGGAAGCAGUGGGGAAUAUUGGACAAUGGGCGAAAGCCUGAUCCAGCAAUGCCGCGUGAGUGAUGAAGGCCUUAGGGUUGUAAAGCUCUUUUACCCGGGAUGAUAAUGACAGUACCGGGAGAAUAAGCUCCGGCUAACUCCGUG
rnacentral:rRNA from 1 species